UACGGAGGGUGCAAGCGUUAUCCGGAUUCACUGGGUUUAAAGGGUGCGUAGGAGGGCAGGUAAGUCAGUGGUGAAAUCUCCAAGCUUAACUUGGAAACUGCCGUUGAUACUAUCUGUCUUGAAUACCGUGGAGGUGAGCGGAAUAUGUCAUGUAGCGGUGAAAUGCUUAGAUAUGACAUAGAACACCAAUUGCGAAGGCAGCUCGCUACACGAAUAUUGACUCUUAGGCACGAAAGCGUGGGGAUCAAACAGG
rnacentral:rRNA from 1 species